rnacentral:rRNA from 1 species
UACGGAGGGUGCGAGCGUUAAUCGGAAUUACUGGGCGUAAAGCGUGCGUAGGUGGUUGAUUAAGUUAUCUGUGAAAUUUCUGGGCUUAACCUGGACAGGUCAGAUGAUACUGAUUGACUGAGUAUGGGAGAGGGUAGUGGAAUUUCCGGUGUAGCGGUGAAAUGCGUAGAGAUCGGAAGGAACACCAGUGGCGAAGGCGGCUACCUGGCCUAAUACUGACACUGAGGCACGGAAAGCGUGGGGAGCAAACAGG